rnacentral:tRNA from 1 species
AUGUGAGGACUGCGAAUGUAGGUUACUGUGAUAUAGUAAAAUUUGGGUUUGAAAACUCCCACAUU